CCCCAGCCCCAGCCCCAGCCCCAGCCCCAGCAGCCCGGCUACGAUGUGACCCAAAGCAAAGCUGGCAUGUGGGACUUUGUUUCCCAAGGAGGUGUUGGUCCAAGAGGCCCUAGACCAUAUCCAAUGGCAUCUACAUACCACCCCAGGUGGCAGCAUGAACUGGUGCCUAUGUACAAUGGACGUCAACCAUAGUAGGUCCCUGACCCCUUCCUGGAAGCAGUCUGUCUUGGCAUAAACUUUGAAAUUGAAUAAAGUACUUGGAACUACA